rnacentral:rRNA from 1 species
UGGGGAAUUUUGGACGAAUUGGGCGAAAGCCUGAUCCAGCAAUGCCGCGUGUGUGAAGAAGGCCUUCGGGUUGUAAAGCACUUUUGUCCGGAAAGAAAUCCUUGGCUCUAAUACAGUCGGGGGAUGACGGUACCGGAAGAAUAAGCACCGGCUAACUACGUGCCAGCAGCCGCGGUAAUACGUAGGGUGCAAGCGUUAAUCGGAAUUACUGGGCGUAAAGCGUGCGCAGGCGGUUUGCUAAGACCGAUGUGAAAUCCCCGGGCUCAACCUGGGAACUGCAUUGGUGACUGGCAGGCUAGAGUAUGGCAGAGGGGGGUAGAAUUCCACGUGUAGCAGUGAAAUGCGUAGAGAUGUGGAGGAAUACCGAUGGCGAAGGCAGCCCCCUGGGCCAAUACUGACGCUCAUGCACGAAAGCGU